rnacentral:lncRNA from 1 species
GCCAUAAAUAUGAGUUUUUCUUCUUUAUGAAAAAUGCUUGUGUAAUAAUAAUGAAGUGUUUGUUAUAGAACUUGUUGUUCUUAUUGAUUAAUGAAUGAGAUUUCGAUACAUAUAUAUACAUGAUGAGGGGAGACAAAUCCCCAUUGGGCUAGUAAACCCUAAAGCCCAAAAGCCCACUAAGUACAAUAUAGGCCGUCAUAAGGAGAAUCUUCAAGAACAUGGGCAUGGGCCUUCUAGGACAUGGACAUGGGCCUUCUAGAAUAUUCAUAAGGUCCACGGUUAUGGAGUCCAUCCAACAUGUGGUUUAUAACACUCCCCCUUGGAUGACAUAACCGUGUAGAUGCCAAAGGAUCUCAGUAAUACGCUUGGGGAUGCUGCCUCAUUAAAACCUUACCAGGAAAACCCAUUGGGACAAAACCAUGGUUAAGGAAAAAGAGUACAGCACGUAUUACUCCCCCUGUUUUGGUCAUCCCUGCAAGUCCUUAAGUCUCCGCAUUCCAAUUUGAUGCGUGAGCUUCCUCAAUGUCGAUGUUGGUAAUGCCUUGGUAAAGAGAUCGGCUGAGUUGUCGCUGGAUCGAACUUGUACCACUCGAACUUCUCCAUCCCUUUGCAAGUCAUGCGUGAAGAAGAACUUUGUUAGAAUGUGCUUCGUCCGAUCUCCCUUGAUGUAGCCGUCCUUGAGCUGAGCGAUACAGGCUGUGUUGUCUCCUCAUAUGAUGGUCUUUGAUGUUGUAGUAGCUGCGCCUUGAAGAAGGCUGCCUACGUACCCUUGGAAGGGAUCAAGCCACACGUAGUUCCUAUCUAUUGACCAUGCCAUAAUCUGAUUUUACCUGCAUCAGCAAAACAAACUAAACCAAAGCAAACUAGACCUUCUUUGGUUAGAUCAGUAUAGAAUAAAACCCAAAUAAACAAACAUAGGAAGAAUAGAAUUUAAAAUUUAACCAAACCUUCCUUCAAACCUUUCUAGUGCCUUUGGGUUGAUCAUGAACUAAAUUUAGGCAAAGGAGGUUCACGGCAAAACAUAUGUCUGGUCUAGUGUGGCUAGCCAAGUACAUUAACGCUCCUAUGGCACUAAGGUAUGGCACUUCAGGAUCGAGAACUUCUUCCUCAUCCUUCUUUGGACCGAAUGGAUCACUAUCCAAUCCGAGGCUUCUCACCACCAUUGGGCUGCUCAAUGGGUGGGCCUGGUCCAUAUUGAAUCUCUUGAGUACUUUUUCAGUAUAUGCCUUUUGAUGCACAAGGAUUCCAUUAUUCACGUACUCAAGUUGCAAUCCCAAACAGAAUUUUGUCUUGCCUAGGUCUUUCAUCUCGAAUUCUUUCUUUAGAUAUUUGACUGUUUGGGCGAUUUCCCCAGAGGUUCCAAGGAUGUUUAAAUCAUCCACAUAUACUGCUAUUAUCACAAACCCUUUGUUUGCAAAUUUCUUUAUGAAGAUACAUGGACUGAUGGGAUCAUUCUUAUAACCUUCUCUGACUAGGUACUCGCUUAAUCUAUUGUACCACAUGCGUCCACUUUGUUUCAGUCCAUAAAGUGAUUUGUUCAGCCUUAUGCAGUAUUGGUCUCGAGACCCUUUCUUAUCUUUAUCUUUGAGCUCAAUACCCUCUGGUAAUCUCAUAUAUAUCAUCCAGUGGACUUAUAUAAAUAUGCAGGCAUUACAUCCAUUAGCCGCAAAUCAAGUCUUUUUCUUUAUAUAGCCAGACUUAGCAAAAUUUAAAUGUCUUAGCAUCCACCACAGGGGAGUAUGUUUCUUCAUAAUCUAUCCCCGGUCUUUGUGAGAAUCCUUGUGCUACAAGCCGUGCCUUAUAUCUCACGAUUUCAUUAUUCUCAUUUCUCUUCUUCACAAAGACCCAUUUGUGUCCUACUGGUUUUUACAUCGAAUGGUGUCCUUAAGGUCGGACCAAACUCAUUCCUUUUCUUAAUGAUUCUUAGCUCCACGUUUUAUGGUCUUGUACCAUUUAAUCAAUCAAGUCUUUGAGUGCACUCUAGUAUAGACGUGGGCUCCUGAUCCUCAUUUAUAUUCAUAAAUUCAAGUGCUACCUUGCAUGCAAAAUCAUCUUAUGUCGACAUUUCUUAUAUGUUCCAUUAUGUUCCAGACAUGAUAUAAUUGAUUUGAGAUUUAUUAUGGUCAGGACCUUUAAUACUUUGCAGCUUGGCGUCCCAAGCUACAUUAUAUGGUACCUGUACCUUAGAGCCGGCCGGCCUUAUCUCCAUGUCUGGGAUGGUUUCCUUAGUAACCUCGGAUUCCUAUUGCACCUUUCUUUGAUUUUCGAGGAUUUUUAUCUUUGGAACCUAUUGGUCUACCACGUUUCUUUCGUGUGUUAGACUCGGUAGCAAUUUCAUUGAUUCCCUUUUGGAUAUCAAUACGUACUGGUGCAUUACAAGCUGGUAUGUACGUUUUUGUAACUUUCUUUGGGUCAGCAAAGGAAUCUGGCAAUUGAUUAGCUAGCUUUUCAAAUGUAUAAUCUUAUGGACCUCUGAUUCUCAUGCCAGAGUCCGAGGAUCUUGCCAAUUUAAGGAUGUUUGAUUCCAUUAUAUUUCUUUUAUUGCUUUACCCAGCUUGUUCGUCUCUCCACCUAUAGUAGGAAAUUCGGAUUCAUUCAAAUGACAAUCCGCGUAUCUAGCCUUAAAUAGAUCACCCGUAGUUGGCUCUAGAUACUUAAUAAUGGUGGGAGAAUCAAAUCCAACAUAUAUUCCCAUCCUCCUUUGAGGUCCCAUCUUUGUUUCUAUGUGGUGGAGCAAUCGGUACAUAUAUGGCACACCCGAAAGUCUUUAGAUGGGAUAUGUCUGGCUCAUGACCCAUAAGUAAUUGGGAUGGUGAAUAUCUAUGUUCACUAGAUGGCCUUAUGCGUAUAAGUUCUGAUGCAUGUAAAACAGCGUGUCCCCAAGCGGCUACUAGGAGCUUCGACCUCAUGAGUAAUGGUCGAGCUAUCAAUUGAAUUCGUUUAAUGAAGGAUUCCGCUAAUCCAUUCUGUGUAUGUACAUGUGCUACGGGAUGUUCCACACUUACUCCCAUGGACAUACAGUAGUCAUUAAACGCUUGGGACGUGAAUUCACCGGCAUUGUCUAGACGUAUAGUCUUAAGCGGAAAAUCUGGAAAGUGGGCUCACAGUCUUAUUAUCUGGGCCAAUAACCUAGCAAACACUUGGUUUCUAGUAGAUAGGAGACAAACAUGCGACCAUCUUGUCGAUGCAUCAAUGAGGACCAUACAUAUAUCUCCUUGUAUCCUUUCCAGAAAUUUUAAGGUCUCUUUAUUUACCUUAGCCGGUGAUGGCCUUAUAAUGAGUUUCCCUUGUGAACAUGCUUCACACGUGAGAUUCUUAGGGAUAACUCUUUUCUCUCUUAGGGUGUGCCCCUUUGAAUUAGUUAUUAGUUUACGCAUCAUACUAUGACCCGGAUGGCCAAGCCGGUCAUGCCAUAAAGUGAAUUUCUCGAUGAACUCUUUGUUCAUUGCCAUAUUAGCUUCGAUCAUAUCGAUUUUAGCAUAGUAGAGACCAGUGGAUAAUGCGGGUAUAGUCUCUUAGGACUUUCUUAUGUCCUUGGAUGAUCUCAAUUAUAUUUAGGAAUUCUUUGUUCCCUUCACCCUUUGUUUCAAUAUGGAAACCAUUCAAUCUUAUAUUUUUGAAACUUGACAAGCUCCUCUUCGAGCUGGGUGAAUAUAGGGCAUCGCUUAUUUCAAGAUGCGUGCCCUUUGAUAAAAGUAUAUGGGCAUGACCAUGGCCCUCAAUAAGACUAGCUAUACCCGCUAUGGUGCUAAUAUUGGCAUUUUUCAUUAUGAGAUUUAGGAAAAUAUCUCUUAUCUUUUGUGUGGCUCCACUAUCCACCACAAUUAUGUUCUUGUCCUCGGCCAUUUCUUAUAUGGACAAGAAUCAUGUUCUAAACAUAAAAUAAUAUAAAAUAAAUUCAAGCAAAUAACAAUCAAUGAACACAUAAAAUGCAAAGAAAAACAUAGAGGUUUUGAUGUCGAAGUAAGAUUUAUCAACUUGAUUCUUUUAUGCAAUCAGAAGUUUCAUACUCUAUUAGAUCAUCUUGAUCAUGUUCACCAUCUUUAUAUACCAAAUGGGCUUUAGAAUUCUUCCCUUUUACACUCUCUUGAUAGAGGUCACAACGGUGUUUGGAAGUCCUACAUAUCUUAGCCCAAUGGUUUCCCAUUCCAUAUCUAUGGUAUACUCAUUUGGUCGAGUGUUGUGGUUUGGAAAUACCACAUCGUCCUCGCCCUCGACCACGGCCGGAAUUGGGUCUACAUCCACGGUUAUAGUGGUUCCCAUGGUCGGAUGAGUUAUAGUGGCCACAACCACGUCCUUUCAAUACCACAUCUAUGGCAUACUCAUUUGGUCGAGUGUUGUGGUUUGGAAAUACCACAUCGUCCUCGCCCUCGACCACGGCCGGAAUUGGGUCUACAUCCACGGUUAUAGUGGUUCCCACGGCCGGAUGAGUUAUAGUGGCCACAACCACGUCCUUUCCAUCCACCACGGUCACGGCCGUGUGGUCUAUCACUUUAGACGUGGUUAGAUUCUUUGGAUUCUUUCUUAUCCUCUGCGGCCUUAUUGGCAUUAGGUAAUGGGGUUAAUCUAUGAGGUCGUAACUCACUGUUUUUAUCUGUAAGUCAUUAUUUUUAUUUUUUUUUUCAUCUAGCAAUAGACUCAUCCACGGACUUAUAGUCCUGGAUUAUGAGACUCUCAAUAAGAUGGUGGCUAAUAUUGUCUUGUAUCUAUCUUUCUCUCUUGGCAUUCUUGCCUUAUUAGAUACAUUCACCAAGUCCUUUUGACUUUAGGAUAAUCUUAGUAUCCAUUGCCCAUUUUAAAAUAAUUAUCUCCUAAGAAAUUUAGGGCAGUAAAGUACAAGUUGUAAUUCAACAUCUACAAGGAAAAGUUUUGAGUCAAAAUCAUGUAAUCGUUAGUGUCAUGCGGUAUUUGAGACCGAACCAUGAAUCGAUUUACUUAGGGAUUUGACUUUCCUCUUUUGCUUAGGAUUAGAUUUCCUCUUUUUAUUAGGAUUAACUUUUCCUUUUCCUUUUUAGGAUUUACUUUCCUCUUUACUUUAGGAUUAAUUUUCCUAUUUCACUUAUGAUUUUAGAUUUUAAGAUUUCCUAUUUUAAUUAGGAUUUUAAGGUUUCCUAGAUUUUAGGGUUUCCUAUUUUAUUUAGGAUUUUAGGUUUUAGGGUUUUGAGAUUUCUUUUAGGAUUAUCUUUUCUAAGUUUUCUAGGGUUCAUGCAAUUUUAGUUUUAGGGUGUUAAGCAUGUAAUCAAUCAAAGGAGCAAACAAUCUAACAACCUAAACAAUCUCAAUCAAGCCGAUUUAAACUUAUGGAAUUUUUUUGGAUUAGAUUCGUUUUAGGUUUUAGGUUUUUAGACCUUUAAAGUUUCGGUUAUUAGCUUAUGUAUUUUCGUUUUGCGAUUUUAGGUUUAGACAAUUAAAACUUCUCUAGCAACUUAGGCGAGUUUAGCUUAAGCGAUAAUCAACUUUUUCUAGCAACCUGAACGAGUCAAACAAUCGAGCAAACAAGCAAUCGGAUCAAACAAGCAAUCAAAUCAUACAAGCAAAGCAAUCACUUAAUCAAUCAUCAUUCGUUUUAGGGUUUCUCUUUGCUUAACUUUCAAGUUCAAUUGUUGGUUCUUUAGCUUUAGGGUUUUGAUGUUACCUUUCACCUUAUGGGGUUGUAUGGACUAGAACCGGGAGCUAAAGACCUCGGUAACUCACGCUGCUGCAACGAACCGCAAACAGUACCACGAUGAACAGUACCACGAUGAACAGUGCCGCGAUGAACAGUACCCGCGAUGAACAGUGCGGCGAUGAACAGUACGGCGAUGAACAGUACGGCGAUGAACAGUACGGCGAUGAACAGUACCGAGAUGAACAGUGUCGGCGAUGAACAGUGCCGCGAUUUUUAGGGUUAGGGUUUUAGGGUUUUCGUUAAGAGCAAGUCGUGCUGAUAACGUGUUAUAGAACUUGUUGUUCUUAUUGAUUAAUGAAUGAGAUUUCGAUACAUAUAUAUACAUGAUGAGGGGAGACAAAUCCCCAUUGGGCUAGUAAACCCUAAAGCCCAAAAGCCCACUAAGUACAAUAUAGGCCGUCAUAAGGAGAAUCUUCAAGAACAUGGGCAUGGGCCUUCUAGGACAUGGACAUGGGCCUUCUAGAAUAUUCAUAAGGUCCACGGUUAUGGAGUCCAUCCAACAUGUGGUUUAUAACAGUGUUUACCAAGAUGAUGAACAUAGCAGUGAGAGCUGGCUCAGGCUUUCAUAUUCAAGUCCUUU